GUUAUUCUUUUGGGGACAUCCGAUCAAAUUGGAACCAUACAAAGAAAAUUAGCAUGACCCCUUCGCAAGGAUGACAGUUUUUUCGUAUUGAAUUGCCUUACCUGAUU